UACGAAGGUGGCAAGCGUUGUUCGGAUUUACUGGGCGUACAGGGAGCGUAGGCGGUUGGAUAAGCCCUCCGUGAAAUCUCCAGGCUUAACCUGGAAAGUGCAGAGGGGACUGUUCAGCUAGAGGAUGGGAGAGGAGCGCGGAAUUCCCGGUGUAGCGGUGAAAUGCGCAGAUAUCAGGAGGAACACCGGUGGCGAAGGCGGGUCUCUGGGCAACAACUGACGCUGAGGCGCGACAGCGUGGGGAGCAAACAGG
rnacentral:rRNA from 1 species